AGAACGAACGCUGGCGGCAGGCUUAACACAUGCAAGUCGAGCGCCCCGCAAGGGGAGCGGCAGACGGGUGAGUAACGCGUGGGAACAUACCCUCCGGUUCGGAAUAGCUCAGGGAAACUUGGAUUAAUACCGGAUACGGCCUAGCGGCGAAAGAUUCAUCGCCGGAGGAUUGGCCCGCGUUCGAUUAGCUAGUUGGUGAGGUAACGGCUCACCAAGGCGACGAUCGAUAGCUGGUCUGAGAGGAUGAUCAGCCACAUUGGGACUGAGACACGGCCCAAACUCCUACGGGAGGCAGCAGUGGGGAUAUGGACAAUGGGCGCAAGCCUGAUCCAGCCAUGCCGCGUGAGUGAUGACGGCCUUAGGGUUGUAAAGCUCUUUCGCUAGGGACGAUAAUGACGGUACCUAGACAAGAAGCCCCGGCUAACUUCGCGCCAGCAGCCGC
rnacentral:rRNA from 1 species